rnacentral:rRNA from 1 species
UUCUAGCUCAGGAUGAACGCUAGCGAUAGGCCUAACACAUGCAAGUCGAGGGGCAGCACAUGAGUAGCAAUACGAUGGUGGCGACCGGCGCACGGGUGAGUAACACGUAUGCAACCUACCUUUAACAGGGGAAUAACCCGUUGAAAAACGGACUAAUACUCCAUAACACAGGGGUCCCGCAUGGGAAUAUUUGUUAAAGAUUAAUCGGUUGAAGAUGGGCAUGCGUUCCAUUAGCUUGUUGGUGAGGUAACGGCUCACCAAGGCCACGAUGGAUAGGGGAACUGAGAGGUUUAUCCCCCACACUGGAACUGAGACACGGUCCAGACUCCUACGGGAGGCAGCAGUGAGGAAUAUUGGUCAAUGGAGGCAACUCUGAACCAGCCAAGUCGCCGUGAAGAAUGAAGGUCUUAUGGAUUGUAAACUUCUUUUGCAAGGGAAUAAAGUGGGGGACGUGUCCUCCUUUGCAUGUACCUUGCGAAUAAGGAUCGGCUAACUCCGUGCCAGCCGCAGC